UACGUAGGUGGCGAGCGUUGUCCGGAUUUACUGGGCGUAAAGGGAGCGUAGGCGGACUUUUAAGUGAGAUGUGAAAUACUCGGGCUCAACUUGAGUGCUGCAUUUCAAACUGGAAGUCUAGAGUGCAGGAGAGGAGAGUGGAAUUCCAUGUGUAGCGGUGAAAUGCGUAGAUAUAUGGAGGAACACCGGUGGCGAAAGCGGCUCUCUGGCCUGUAACUGACACUGAGGCUCGAAAGCGUGGGGAGCAAACAGG
rnacentral:rRNA from 1 species